CCCGUUUUUAAUUGAAGGUGCUUGCACCUGAUUGAUAAAACAUCGGAAUGAGUGGCGGACGGGUGAGUAACACGUGGGAACGUGCCCUUUGGUUCGGAAUAACUCAGGGAAACUUGAGCUAAUACCGGAUGAGCCCUAACGGGGAAAGAUUUAUCGCCGAAGGAGCGGCCCGCGUCGGAUUAGCUAGUUGGUGGGGUAAUAGCCUACCAAGGCAACGAUCCGUAGCUGGUUUGAGAGAACGACCAGCCACACUGGGACUGAGACACGGCCCAGACUCCGACGGGAGGCAGCAGUGGGGAAUCUUGGACAAUGGGGGAAACCCUGAUCCAGCCAUGCCGCGUGAGUGAUGAAGGCCCUAGGGUUGUAAAACUCUUUCGGCGGGGACGAUAAUGACGGUACCCGCAGAAGAAGCUCCGGCUAACUUCGUGCCAGCAGCCGCCGUAA
rnacentral:rRNA from 1 species